UGAGGACUCAUAGCAACCUCUGUCUCCUCUCCCACAUUCUAUUCUGUGCAUCUUUUCCUCUUCUUUGUGACUCCCCACCACCCAACCCCCGCCAGAAGCCAUUUUCAUGAACCCACAUUCCAUUAACCACUCUAGGACUUCAGUGGCUCGAGCAGUUUGCUGCCCCUAAGCUGCAUACCCGCUGGAUACACAGAAGUGCCUGGAGGUGGGGCAGAUUUGGGACACUGUCCUGCUCUCUCCUGCAUUGCUAUGUCCUCAUCGUUCUUCAAUUGGACAAACAAAUUGCAUCUGUGGCCAGCUAACGUUUGCAGUUGUUAAAUGUCGUUUCCUUACGGAGCCCCUGGUGAGCGACAGCAGACCUUCCUAAUCCAGUCACUAAGCAAAAGUGCACACUGCAAGGCUUUCAGAGAAGUGGCUGAUAAAUACAAACAAAGCCUGUUGGCUGAA